rnacentral:rRNA from 1 species
GACGAACGCUGGCGGCGUGCCUAAUACAUGCAAGUCGAACGCAGUGGGGACGGGUGAGUAACACGUGGGUAACCUCCCAUCAGUGGGGAUAACACUUGGAAAUAGUCGCUAAACCGAUAUUGAUGGAUGUACCCGCGGUGAAGUAGCUCGUUGGUGAGGUAACGGCUCACCAAGGCCACGAGGCAUAGACGACAGGUGCGGGUGAUCUGCCACACUGGGACUGAGGCACGGUACAGACUCCGAAGGGAGGCAGCAGUAGGGAAUCGUGCGAAAUGGACGAAAGUCAGACCGAGCAACUCCGCGUGAGCGAAGAAGGUUUUCGGAUCGUAAAUCUAUAUUGUUAGCGAAGCGGUAUCUAACCAGAAAGCCACGGCUAACUACGUGCCAGCCGCCGCGGUAAUAC